rnacentral:lncRNA from 1 species
AUGUGCAUUGACCUUCCUCAUUUCUGAUGAAGUCUUAUGCAAUUGUGAUCCCAUUCAACGUGUGUCCAUGUCUACUGCAGAAACAAAUGGGCCAGAAGAAGCUGUGUACUUGUUGCUUUCAGAGACUAUUGCAAAUGAAGAUGCUUUGGUCUACCAGCCUGGCUUUACCACUAGAAAAAUAAGUUCUACAGAAGCUGCAGGGACAGAAGAGAUGCAGAUCCAGCCUGCAGCUUCUGUACUGCACUGAUGGAGGAAAAAGGCAGAAAAAGAAGAGCAACAGCUGCUGCAAUGGACUAUAUUUAUUUAAUGCACCAGCAGUGCCAGCCUAGCUGCUCACGGGGGUAUUUAGUUCCAUCCUUUCAUCUGAGGUGGACAAGAUUGAGCAGGGAGUGGGAGUGUGUCUGUAGUGUCUUGAUUUAAAUACCACCUACAUAUGUAGAUAGUGCCUACUGUUAGGAGAAAUGCCCAUGUAAUUAUUUGUUAUAGUAAGAUACCAGAAUCUAACUAACCAUCUAAAACUAACAACUUAUUG